GAACGCUGGCGGCGUGCUUAACACAUGCAAGUCGAACGGAAAGGCCCUGCUUUUGUGGGGUGCUCGAGUGGCGAACGGGUGAGUAACACGUGAGUAACCUGCCCUUGACUUUGGGAUAACUUCAGGAAACUGGGGCUAAUACCGGAUAGGAGCUCCUGCUGCAUGGUGGGGGUUGGAAAGUUUCGGCGGUUGGGGAUGGACUCGCGGCUUAUCAGCUUGUUGGUGGGGUAGUGGCUUACCAAGGCUUUGACGGGUAGCCGGCCUGAGAGGGUGACCGGCCACAUUGGGACUGAGAUACGGCCCAGACUCCUACGGGAGGCAGCAGUGGGGAAUAUUGCACAAUGGGCGGAAGCCUGAUGCAGAAACGCCGCGUGCGGGAUGACGGCCUUCGGGCUGUAAACCGCUUUCGCCUGUGACGAGGCGUGAGUGACGGUAAUGGGUAAAGAAGCACCGGCUAACUACGUG
rnacentral:rRNA from 1 species